rnacentral:tRNA from 1 species
GUUUUUGUAGUUGAAUAACAACAAUGGUUUUUCAGAUCAUGAGUUCUGGUGUAAGUCCAGAUAAGAACU